GACGAACGCUGGCGGCGUGCCUAAUACAUGCAAGUCGAGCGGACGGAUGGGAGCUUGCUCCCAGACCGUCAGCGGCGGACGGGUGAGUAACACGUGGGCAACCUGCCUGUAAGACUGGGAUAACUCCGGGAAACCGGGGCUAAUACCGGAUAACUCUUUCCCUCACAUGAGGGAAAGCUGAAAGAUGGCAUCUCGCUAUCACUUACAGAUGGGCCCGCGGCGCAUUAGCUAGUUGGUGAGGUAACGGCUCACCAAGGCGACGAUGCGUAGCCGACCUGAGGGGGUUAUCGGCCACACUGGGACUGAGACACGGCCCAGACUCCUACGGGAGGCAGCAGUAGGGAAUCUUCCGCAAUGGACGAAAGUCUGACGGAGCAACGCCGCGUGAGUGAUGAAGGUUUUCGGAUCGUAAAACUCUGUUGUCGGGGAAGAACAAGUACCGGAGUAACUGCCGGUACCUUGACGGUACCUGACCAGAAAGCCACGGCUAACUACGUG
rnacentral:rRNA from 1 species